GCUCAGGAUAACGCUGGCGGCGUGCUUAACACAUCAAGUCGAACGAUGACUUCUGUGCUUGCACAGAAUGAUUAGUGGCGAACGGGUGAGUAACACGUGAGUAACCUGCCCUUAACUUCGGGAUAAGCCUGGGAAACCGGGUCUAAUACCGGAUACGACCACCUGGCGCAUGCCAUGGUGGUGGAAAGCUUUAUGCGGUUUUGGAUGGACUCGCGGCCUAUCAGCUUGUUGGUUGGGGUAAUGGCCCACCAAGGCGACGACGGGUAGCCGGCCUGAGAGGGUGACCGGCCACACUGGGACUGAGACACGGCCCAGACUCCUACGGGAGGCAGCAGUGGGGAAUAUUGCACAAUGGGCGAAAGCCUGAUGCAGCGACGCCGCGUGAGGGAUGACGGCCUUCGGGUUGUAAACCUCUUUCAGCAGGGAAGAAGCGAAAGUGACGGUACCUGCAGAAGAAGCGCCGGCUAACUCGUCC
rnacentral:rRNA from 1 species